GCUAGGAGUCUAAAAGCAUUUUCCUUUAGGCCAGGAAUCAGCAAACUUUUCCUUAAAGGCCCAGAUAUGGUCAGAUGAUAUUUGUCAUAACUACUCACCCCUGCCAUUGGAGCUCUAGAGCAGCCAGAGACAAUACAUAAACAAAGGGGCAUGGCUGAGUUCCAGUAAAACUGUGUAUUUACAAAAAGCCGGCCAGGCUGUACAGCAGUCUGUACUUAGCUGAUUCCUGCUUUAGACAAAGACACAUCUUGGUAAAUCAGCUCUCUUCAUUGAUAGGCCAGUCUCUAUUCAUCCCCUCUCCCAAUUGCCAAAAACAAAAUUCUAGAAGAGUGAAUGCAAACCUAGCAAAAUUAUAGAUCAUUAGCUUCUCUGCCUGCAUGUACAUUGGGGGCAUUCCUUACUCAAUGUGGCCCUUGAGUAAGUUGUGAUUUGCACGGGUGAGGUAGAGAGAGAAAUCCUGCUAUCCGGCACUGUCUUGCUAAUGAGUCUUGAGCACAUUAUCUGUAGCUUUGGAGUAUCCUCUAGAGGUUUCUAAUAGGCAGAAUGAUCUACUUCUGAAGCCUCUUUUCUCUAUACCAUUAAGUUCUUUGGCACUGACGAUGAAUUUCCUGUGGCAUUUUUUACUUUUAUCUGCUAUUCUGAAAGUCAACAGACUGACACAGUUAUUAAAAUAACUGCCAAUAUUAUAAGGUCCAGGCCCUAAUUUCCUGCCAUCUAAAGCAGUAAUACUCAAUUAGGGGUAGUUUGCUUGCUCUGGAGACACUCGGUUGUUGUAACCAGGAGUAGGGGGGUGCUACUGGCAUCAGGUAAGCAGAGGCCAAAGAUGUGACCCAGAAUCUUUCAAUACACAAGAUAACCCCCUGUAACAAAGAAUUAGCCAGUCCAAAAUAUCAGUAGUGCUGAGGUUGAGAAACCAUGAUUUAGACUCUUCUACUGAACUUUUAAUCCACCUCGUACUCUACUGAGAAACCAGUAUCGCUAAACCAUCACUUUUCUCCUUCACUCCUAAACUCCAGUAGCUCCUCAUCCCCCGGAGAGACUAAGUCUGUCCUUGUCAUCCUGGCAUUUAGAUCUGGGGAUUUUGCCCACAUACAUAUUCAGACUCUGCUUCUUUCAAGUUUUUAUCUGCACCGCCCUCGGCACUACCAUACUUUUAACUCAUGUUACCCCGCAAACACACAUUUUGGGAAGAUUACCCCACCUCUCUCCUCAGAUCCAAAUCUUACUCAUUCUUUGAGGCCCACGCAUGCUGCAUGCCCCUGUACCAUUGAGUCUGCCCGUACCACUGCCUUUUGUAGUUACACGGGCUCACCCAUCUUACACUGUUACAUUGCUAUUCUGUCUACCUCGCCUCCUCAGUUACUCCCUGAAGGGGUCCGUAUUGUAUUUCUGGCCUAUUGAUCUCAGUUUACACAGCGUAAAGUGUGAAAAGUGUAUUGGUGUAUUGAGAUUCUCUUCAAUGAGAUAAUGAGUAUAAAAAGCACCCUAUAUAGUGCCUGGUACACAAUUAAGUGCUCAGAAAAUUAUAGUGUCAUAGUAUCUAUAGAAGCAUGAAUUCGGGACCCCAUAGAAGGUGCUUAAUAAAUUGUUUAAAUGUAGUUAUAUAUUGGAGAGAGCAUGCCACACAGACUAGUCUGGUAUUUGGAACUAACAGCAAAGAAAAACUGCCAUAGAAAUCCUACACCAAUUAACACGCCUUCAUGCUAGACUGAAUCCAGGAGCAGGGGUGUCAUGUUUUCCCAGAGUGGUGCCCAACCCAACCUUUCUGCAUUUAGCAAGUUAAUGAACAGCUUGUGAAUAACUCUUUGCCCACUCUGGCUCAAUUUAGAAGGCCACCAACAGGAUAUAAAUAUGCCACACUGUCUGCUUUCCUGGAGACCCUGCUGUCCUCUCCCUAAGUGCUUCUGCUUUCAGUCGGUGGAGAGUCUGAUGUGCCUAGAGAAGUUGCACAGUGGGAUGAGGCUGCAGCGAGGGCCUGGCCUUUCCCCAGGCGGAAGAGAGCCUUGUCUCAGAUCCUGAGAGAAAAGUGAGUGGGGGCAUGGCAUUCCGAGCAGCCCAGGUUUGGCUUUGGGCCAAGCACUGAGUGGCAAACAAGAAGGAACACAUUCCGGGAAGGCAAGGAGCCCUGCCAGCACGAAGGCAGCAGCAAAAGCAGGGCCCUGCUGGGUGCCAGGUGUUCCUUGGCUCUGUGGAGGUCAGGCAUGCAGGGGGAUGAACUCAGGUUUCUCUAGAAUAUCAUUUGAGAGGCUUAAGUGCCUCCCGCCCUCUCCCUGUCAGCAGACAGAGCAUGUGGAACUGUUAAACAUUAAAACGCUCUGCUCUGGGGUCCAGCCCAUGCUCUCUAAAUAAAGGCAGGAGCGGAAAGAGUGUUGUUGCCAUCAUGAAAUCACACUUCACAGGAGCCAGAUUUCGGUAAUUCUGUGUCUAAGAGAAAAUGCUACUCCAAACAAGGGCAGGUUGGAGAAGAGCCUGGGAUUUCUAUGCCCUAGAAGCUGCGCUCUCCACCGUUGCAGCCCAGAAACACAAACAAACACACUUGUUCUCCACGCCUGCCUUCCUAGUGGCCAGAGCUGGGGGAAGCCUGGAGAGCCCUUGAAACGUCCUUUCACAAUCAGCGCUGGCCCUUCCCCAGGUGAUGAGAGAAGAGGGAGAGGAGGACCAAAGCGGAAGCGGAUAGAGCCAUUCUUUUCGGGGGAAAUGGCCACACAAGCCUUCCUGAAGAUUCCCUUCUUCUGUUGGAUAGCAAGGACCAGGGAGAAGUGCUGAAGCAAGAAGGGUUAUUUUCCUAAAAAAGACUGAUGAAAGGGUGAAAGGGGCUGUUUCAAAAAAAAAAAAAAAGGAUGGCCGUUCAUGGAAGAGUGAGUUUCACCUGAGACAUACAGAUUUGGUGCAAGCAACACAAAAGGCCAGGCUGUUUCAUCCUAUAAACUGGGAUGGAGAGAGCAUGAAGAGACCACUUACUGGUAGUCCCUCCGGUCCUCAUUUGGGUUUGUCAUAAACAGGACAGACAGUCGUCUGCUCCACAAUAAAUAAUUUCCACCUGGAUUUCAUUCCCUGAUUAAUCUCUCAGUGUCUGAAGAGGGGAAAACAGUGGCUGUUUCUGACACUGCCCACCCCAUCUCCAGCAACUUUCCCUGAUACUUCUGGGCUCCUCACUAAGGCCCUUCCAGAACCUCCAAAGCCACUAUCUUAGCAGAUGGGAGUCCCAGGGUGAUGAGGCCAGAGUUGUGGGGCACAGAGAAGAAGAGAAGGCCUUGAUAGAGGAAGAGGAAUAUCCAAGGCAAAACCGCCACUAUGUCCAAGCUCCUCAUCCUCUACCUUUCCUGUCCCCAGAGGUAUGAGAUAGACCCCCUGGCCUGGUUCCUGCACUGUUCCAGGCCCACAGUGGAUACUUCCACCUUAAUGGAGAAUAGGCCCCAUGGACUGGAGGUCCCUCCUCCAUGGCCUGCAACCCAGUGACUACAGGGGUGACACAGUGACCUCUGCCCUGUGAUGGCUCAACACCAUCACACGCAGCUGCCCAGACAGGCCCCCCGAAUGGGCUGCUGUUGGCCAUGCCUGAGAUCUGGGCAGGUAGGCAGGGAGUAGACGGCAAGACCUCAGAUGCAAGCCUCCACCCUCCCCUUCCCUAUUUCCAGGGCUUGGGACACCUUAGACAUGUUUGAACACACAAGGGCAAAACCCAGUACCAGGUUUGUGACCACAGUGAUCAAAGGCCCUGCUCCACCUGUCUCACCAGAAAGUGACAGCUGAGGACACAGCAUUUGGGUACCUCUGUUCUUCACAGCCCCUGCCACCAUCCCCACCAUAGGCAACAUCUCCCCGUAAUGCAGCCAGCCACCUCAUGAGUGGCCGGCACAGAGCCCCGGCCCAGAGCAUGGAAAUUCAUCUCUGGCUGGAAUCCUGGCCGUGAGCCCUCCCCUCUGCAUUCACGGCUUCUCAGCAGGCCCCUGCCCAAGCCUGACAGGUGCCUGGCUGCCCGCAGAGAAGCCCUGUGGGAACACAUGAGUGUUGGGAGAGAGCAGAGCCCACAUGGGUGAUUUGUGUUCUGACCUCUGACCUCACCAUGGGGGUGAGCUGUGUGGCAGAGCCACAUUCCAAAUAUGAAAGCAUGGCCUCUGUCCCUUGAGGUGGCCUCCAGUGUGCUGCCUGUGUGCCAGAACUGUUUCCAAGGACCCAGUUUGUUGUGGGUUUUUUUUUUUUCUCAUUUAAGUGGUUGCUGAAGCUUUGUGUACAGAAUUCCUCAGUUGGUUCCAAAAACUCUGGCUUUUUGUUUGAGUCCAAAAAUCGUAGAAGCCAGUUACUUUGUAAAUAGGUACUUCAGAUCUCUCAUAGAGGGAGGAGAAGAGCUGCGGGGAGGAGGAGGGAUCUGGAAUGUUUUCCUUCAUAGGCAGUCUUAGCGCAGCAGCACUGUAAACCACAUUGGUGGAGACUUAGCACCCAGAACAUUCUUCUUGAAGAAGGAAUGGGGACAAAGGCCAAGUGGCUGUUACCUGCACACAGGAAAGACGUCCACAUCAAGGAAAGGGCCCAGAAGGCAGACAGACAUGGGCAGAAGGGCCAGUGAUAACUUUAUUUCCCCCAAGAGUGGGCCUGGGUGGGACGAUGUACCCUGCAUGCUGCCCAACCUUGCUUAGGGUCAGAAGUCAGCUCAAAACAGGACCAAGUCCAGCCAGGCAGCCUGGCCUGAGGUUCUUGGCCCCUGUCCUCAACCCUCAAUAUCAGAAGUAUUAGGAAGAGAAAAGGCCUCACCUGUGCCCAGGGACUGGGCCGUUCCAACUCAAGGUGCAUAACUGCUGCUCUAGCCGAGAAAUACGGAACGCCAGAUAGGAUGAGGACAUGACCAGGAAGCAGAUCCUGGAGAAAGGGACAAUACGGAAUUGAAUAUUUCUUCCACAGAAAGAGCAUUUCUGGAAGUUCACCACAAACAGUGGGAACCAAGCUACCCCUGCAGUUGGAAGAAUUAAAGAGCCCUUUGUCCUGCA